GGUUUUCUCAGGGCAUGGAAAGGACAGGGCUCCCAGUGGAGAUAUCAUGUAGCUAGGGCCUAGAAGUAUUUUUUCAGUACAAGAAAUUUAGAAAGAAUUUGCAUAUUUGAUGCUGGGGAGGUAGGUUGUGGAGUGAAAUGGUCGGGGAAAGGAAACACUGAGUUCAAGUGCUUCUAAAGGACACUUAACUGAUCUAAAUAUUUGUCAAGCUGAAUCACUACAUCCACUCUCACCUGCCUGAAAUCAAUAUGCUCAAGUCAAACGCAUUUGCCUGCAUCUGAAUGUGGAGAAUGAACUUCUUAAAGCUGAAAUGGCAGCUGGAAGGGGAGAGAGAAGAGCUGGACAGGGAGCCAGGACACCGGAGUUCUUUUCCACUGUGGUGGGACCUGGAAGAAGCUGUUGAAUGUCUGUAGGGUUAGCUUUUAAAUGCUGUGAGUCUUUGGAAAGCUGUGCGAAUAACUGCUAAACACCCAGGACAGCUUAUGCAUUUUUUGAAAAAGGCUCCUGGUGCUGGUUCCAGCAGAAUAGACACAGAGAUGCAUGGCCUAACUCCCACCCCCUCUUCAGGACUGAGCCACGCAGCCCCCCAUCUGCCAGAAGUGUUAGCUGUUGACGGCUCACAGCUGAGUCGCUCCCCAGGCAUUGCUGAAAAAAGCCACCUUGCUCUAGGAUGUGCCCCCACCCUGGGGGCAGCACACAUUCCAAGUGAUUAGUCCAUAGUGUGGUACAAAGGUUGUACCCAUCUUGCCUGAAUUCAGGAUCUCUUGGAAAACCAUCCCAGCUCUGCAGCUCCUGGUGGG
rnacentral:lncRNA from 1 species